CAGCAGCCGCGGGAAUACAGAGGGUGCGAGCGUUAAUCGGAUUUACUGGGCGUAAAGCGUGCGUAGGCGGCUUUUUAAGUCGGAUGUGAAAUCCCUGAGCUUAACUUAGGAAUUGCAUUCGAUACUGGGAAGCUAGAGUAUGGGAGAGGAUGGUAGAAUUCCAGGUGUAGCGGUGAAAUGCGUAGAGAUCUGGAGGAAUACCGAUGGCGAAGGCAGCCAUCUGGCCUAAUACUGACGCUGAGGUACGAAAGCAUGGGGAGCAAACAGGAUUAGAACCCCCGUAGUCCCUGUCUCUUAUACA
rnacentral:rRNA from 1 species